rnacentral:rRNA from 1 species
GGGCGAAAGGCAAGGGGCGCUCGUCGCCAGUAGUCUCUCGCCCGGCGCCAGGGGUGCGUUGACGGCCUGCGUGCUUCCACGCGCCCCGGUGAAACAACAUCUAUAACCCCGGCGCCAAACGCGCCAAGGAACUCAAACGAUUGGGCAUGGCCUCGGUGAACCGGAGACGGAUCUCGCCCGGGGUCGGCCGCAAAAACGAUGUCCAAAACGACUCUCGGCAACGGAUAUCUCGGCUCUCGCAUCGAUGAAGAACGUAGCGAAAUGCGAUACUUGGUGUGAAUUGCAGAAUCCCGUGAACCAUCGAGUCUUUGAACGCAAGUUGCGCCCGAAAGCCAUUAGGCCGAGGGCACGUCUGCCUGGGUGUCAAACAUCGUUGCCCCAAACCACGUCGUCCCSCCUGAAUGGUCGGAGCGGGCGAGGUGCUAGGGCGGAAGUUGGCCUCCUGUGAGCCCCUGCCUCGCGGAUGGUUGAAAAUGGAGCCUGUGGGGGGCGACCGCCACGUUCCACGGUGGGUGAGCAGAUGCCUCGAGACCGGCCGUGCGCGAGCUGCCCCUACGUUUAGGCUGCGAGACCCUUGCGAGCCAAUAUGCGCUCCCAACGCGACCCCAGGUCAGCGGGGCUACCUGCUGAGGUUUUAGCAUAUCCUAUAAGCGAGGAA